GGAUUAGAUACCCUGGUAGUCCACGCCGUAAACGAUGAACACUAGGUGUAGCGGAUUGAUUCAUGUCUGCUGCGCCGUAGCUAACGCAUUAAGUGUUCCGCCUGGGGAGUACGGCCGCAAGGCUAAAACUCAAAGGAAUUGACGGGGCCCCGCACAAGCGGCGGAGCAUGCGGCUUAAUUCGAUGCAACCCGAAGAACCUUACCUGGGUUUGACAUCAUGGGUCUAGCUGUGGAAACACAGUGUGCUUACGCGCCCAUGACAGGUGGUGCAUGGCUGUCGUCAGCUCGUGCCG
rnacentral:rRNA from 1 species